AUCACACUUCCGAUCUCAAAAAUGUAGGCGGAUGAGGUCAUUAAGUGUAAAAAGCGAAAAGUGUCAGAAGGUAUGCUUGUCGUAUAUCAAACGAAAGGUCGUACAAAGAACAUUACGAAAGCAUCACUUCUACAGGAAAGACCUUUCAAUUGUUUUACAAACAAUUGAGAUACUAGUUUUUUUUUUUAAGGUCUUUCCCCUACAUGGGAAAGACCUUAUUGUUUUUCUAAUGUUUUUUUUUCUUUUCUUUUUUUUUUUUUUUUUUUUUUUUUCUUCCAACAUUUUUUUGACAUGCCCGCCUCUUGUUUCUGUUGAAGUUAUUAAGACCAAAUAUGGACCAUCGCUAGAUCUCACCAAGAUGUAUUACCAAAUGACCCUGUUAAGGAUUUCAUCAUCCCCUUUGGAAGUUAUCUCCCUUUUAUUGAUUUUUUUCAACAUGGCCUUCCCUCGUUGGUUUUAAAGAUAUCAUGACUUUAAUUGGACAUAAUGUAGAUCUCAUCAUGAUGUAUUACCAUGUGAGGCUGAAUAGGAUUUCAUCGUCCCCUAUGAGAGUUAUAUCCCCUUGAAACAAUUUCUUUCCUUUGCAUUUU
rnacentral:lncRNA from 1 species